rnacentral:misc_RNA from 1 species
UGAGAAGCGAGCUACAGCAACUGUGAGGGUCUCAAAUAUACCCCAAUCUGCUAUAGCUAAAGAUCUUUCCAACUUCUUCGACUCUUUAAUCGGCAAAGGAUCAGUCUUUGCCUGUGAUAUUCACUCUGAGCAUAAGAAUUGGAAAUCGAGAGGCCAUGGUAGAGUUCAAUUCGAGACGUUGCAAGACAAAUUACACUGUUUAUCACUAGCGGAGCAAGGGAAUCUUCUCUUUAAAGGGCACCAACUCUCACUGGUCUCGUCUUUCGAUGAUAUCAUUACAAGGCCCGUGGAACCUAAGUGCAGAUUCCAGGCCGGAAUCUUGCAUACUGGGUUACUGGUCGAGAAAGAUGUUAUGCAGGUUUUGGAGACUUGGGAAGAUGUGAAAACAUUGAUCAUGCCGGAAAGGAAGUGUCUUGAGUUUUGGGUUAGUCAUGCAGAGGAGUGUUAUAGGUUGGAGGUACAGUUUGGCGAUGUUACCGAGGGUACUCUGUGCUCUGUGGAAAACCAAAAAUCUGCACUUCUUUUGAAGCUAAAACAUGCACCAAAGCUAUACCAAAGAGUUUCUGGACCUGCAGUUGCUUCCAAGUUCAGUGCUGACAGGUAUCAUAUCUGCAAGGAAGAUUGUGAGUUUCUUUGGAUUCGCACGACUGAUUUUUCCAACAUAAAGUCUAUUGGAUGUUCAUCCUCUCUUUGCUGGGAAACUGAAGACGGAUGGUUAAGUUCAGAUUUGUUUUCUAGUUUGCCAUGUUGCAACCAGGAUGUGAUAGAUCUUGAUCUGGAUAAAGUAGGAGAUAUUUAUUCUGGUUCUGAAUUUGUUCCCCUUGUGAGGAUCCCAUCAGAUCUGAAGCUACCUUACGAGAUCCUUUUCCAGCUUAACUCCCUCGUACAGACUCAAAAAAUUAGUCUUGGUGCUAUUAAUCCAAAUCUCAUCGAAG